GAAAUCUGACCAGGAGAGCGCUUCAUCCGAAGCCGCCGAAGGCGCAGGGGCAGCCCCCCGAACGCUCAGGCAAAAGGACCGGUCAGCGCCU
rnacentral:ncRNA from 2 species